GGACUACACGGGUAUCUAAUCCUGUUCGCUCCCCACGCUUUCGCUCCUCAGCGUCAGUAUCGGCCCAGAGACCCGCCUUCGCCACCGGUGUUCCUCCUGAUAUCUGCGCAUUUCACCGCUACACCAGGAAUUCCAGUCUCCCCUGCCGAACUCAAGUCUGCCCGUAUCGACCGCAAGCCCACCGUUAAGCGGUAGGUUUUCACGGCCGACGCAACAAACCGCCUACGAGCUCUUUACGCCCAAUAAUUCCGGACAACGCUCGCACCCUACGUAUUACCGCGGCGGCUGGCAC
rnacentral:rRNA from 1 species